GCCUCGUUAGCACAGUUGGUAGUGCAACUGAUUUGUAAUCAGUAGGUCGUGGGUUCGAAUCCUACACGGGGCACCA
rnacentral:tRNA from 1 species